rnacentral:lncRNA from 1 species
GACAAUGUAAUGUAAUUUGAAAGGAAAAUAAGAUUCUCUUUAGCCAAUUGAUAUCUGAAACUUAUGCUCUUAGAGCUGGGAACAUGAGGCAUAGCACUGGAGACAGCUGUUAGAAGAUGAGAGUUAGAAAGAAUAGCUGUGACCCACAGCUCAGCAAGCUGGAAAAAUUUCUAAGGAACAGGAAAACUUGGAGCUUGCUACCCACUAGUACACAAUGCAUCUGGGAGUAUGAAUACAGCUAGGUUUGACCUGGGCAUGGGCAAUGCCUUGCAACAGAAGGUGAGGAAUUUGUCUUAUAGUCUCAGUUUGCCAUCAACUAACAUGGUGA